GGACCCAUAGCUCAGUGGUAGAGCGUUCCGUUCACAUCGGAAAGGCCACAGGUCCGAUCCCUGUUGGGUCCA
rnacentral:tRNA from 1 species